rnacentral:rRNA from 1 species
UACGGGGGGGGGCAAGCGUUGUUCGGAAUUACUGGGCGUAAAGGGUGCGUAGGUGGCGCGCUAAGUCAGGUGUGAAAUUUCGGAGCUUAACUCCGAAACUGCAUUUGAUACUGGCGUGCUUGAGGACUGGAGAGGAGACUGGAAUUCACGGUGUAGCAGUGAAAUGCGUAGAGAGUCGUGAGGAAGACCAGUGGCGAAGG